AUGUGUGUCUUUGUGUGUGUGAGAGAGAGAGAAUUGUGACAUUUCAUGCAAAAGAAUCCGUGUAUGGUUCGCUCUUUCGUUUUUCCGUUUCAAAAUAAAUGAGAAAAAACAAAUAUAGUUUUUUUUUUUUUUGUUUAAAAACGAAAUUUGAAAAACGAAAAGUCGAGAAAGAAAAACGCUGCGAUUUUAAGGUUUAAACAAAAAAAAAAAAAGCCUUUUCUGUUCGGCGCGCCAUUUGGAAGCUACUGGCGGAACCGGAAAUUGGAGUCAGAAAUCUGUCCCAACCUCCACACCACGUACUCUACAGCGAAGAAUAGCGAAGAAAUGGACAUGGUUGUGUUGUUUAGAGGGAGUCGACGCAUCACACUGAGAGCUGAUGAUCUCAGUGUGCACAAAAUUGCUCUAAUAUUCCAAGUAAGUAUUUUUUUAGUAUUGAAAUGUAAAGAACUCUGGCGAUUAUCACUGUAAGCUAACUCUCAUGCUAAGUGGUUAGCCCUGGUUUAAUUUUUUAUUUAUUGAAUGAUUUAUCCCAGGUUUAGUUUUUAUUUAGGCACACAAGAACGUAAGUCAUAAUAAAAGUUUGCAUGUGUAUGUUAUUCACUGAACCAAGUGGCCAUUAACUAUAUAAACUUCCUUGGCGCAACAGCCAUGUUGGUACCACCACAGAUAUUACCAGUUAAUAUUAAUAUCUAUGGGUACCACAAUGUUCAUGUACCCCCCCCCCGACAAAAUGUAUCCCUGUCUUACAAACGUUUUUAUGUGCCUCCUAAGGGUUUUUAUCUUAUAUUAAAGUCCUAUAUGUGAAAUGGGAAAUUUGUAGGAGGGGUCCAAAAGCAAAGGAUAAGUUGGCAAACACUUUAGUCAUUGUAAAUAACUUGAAUAAAUAAUUUGUAUCGAUAAUUAAUAAUUAUUGACUGUCCUUUAAACUAUGGUUUAUUUUAUGAAUCAUUUUUUCAUUAUUCAAAUUUUUUUAUUGUCUUUUUGCUUUGAGGUAUGUGCAGAUUCAAUUUUUCUAACAGCUGAUGACAAACGGGGUGUGUUGCCUGGUGAAGAUGGGGUGUUUGACCUCCUUGACCUAUGGGACAGUAGCCAUUAUGAACUUCAUGGUGAAAGGCAGCUGUGGAUCAGGUGGUAGAGCAGGUCGUCUAAUGAUUGAAGGGUCGGUGGUUCGAUUCCCGCUCUCGGCUGUUGUGUCCUUGGGCAAGAUACUUAACCCACCUUUCCUCCAGUGCACUCACACUAGUGUAUGAAUGCGUGUGAAUGUUGGUGGUGGUCGGAGGGGCCGUAAGUGCAGAUUGGCAGCCACGCUUCCGUCAGUCUGCCCCAGGGCAGCUGUGGCUACAAAUGUAGCUUACCACCACCAGAGUGACAAUGUGUCAGCGAAUGAAUAAUGGAUUCAUUGUAAAGCGCUUUGGGUGUCUUGAAAAGCGCUAUAUAAAUGUAACCAUUAUUAUUAUUAAAGCAUCGGUGAUUCCGAGGCCUCAACUUCAGCAGCCAUAAUCCAACCACCAGUAAAGUUUGCCUUUCGUCGCGCAUCAAGUGCUUCAUCUAGUGCCACUGCAGGUCCUCAGACUCCAACAACCAGUGGGUAAAGAUGUUGCAGAAGUAAAUCUAGAGUUAUUAUUUUAUCAUGUCAUUUGUUUGUACUUAGUACUUUUUUGCUGGGUGCUUCUAAGUAUAUCAUAACGUGUUGAUUUUUUUUUUACACUUAGGAAUGUCUUUGUAGCAGAGAUAGUUGAUGGGGUCCUGGAAACUCAAAAGACAGUCAUCAUAAAAUUCUCUGAAUUCGAGUGUUCAGUUCCCAGCGUCAACGCCAAAGUUGCUGAUGCUCUUGGACAAGAGGAGCCCAUUGUACUUAUUGACAGUCACCACAAUGAAAUAAUGGACUGCGAAGGAACAGGAGGUACGUACAUCUAUAAUUUUUUUUAAAUGACAGCUAGGCAGUAUAUACCAGUACAUACCAAAUACCGUUUUUUCUUCCAAAAAUCUAAAUUUUUUAUAUACAGUGAUAGAAAGUAGUGUCAGUUUUGUAAUACAGCUUCCACUUUAUAUUUGUCACUAUUCUUUUUGCUUUUGUACAAUCUUUGUACUACUUAUCAUGCGUGCAUAUCGUUUUUACAAUAUAAUCCAUAAGUGUCACAUCUGAGGAAUGAACACUGGACACACUGAAGAAAAAACCGUGUGAAAUACAUUUUUGGACCUGCUUUCUGGAAGCAGCCUGCAAGAACAAUAUUUGCUGUGCCAAGAAGGACUACUACAUAGACUAAGGGGGAAUAAAAGAAGGAGAGAAAGUCGUCUAGAGGACAAUGGACUUCCAGGUGUUAUGGAACAAAUAGAGGAAGUUGUUCUUGCGUCUCAGGGUCUACAGCAAAUCUCAAAAACUGUGAAAGAGCUGGUUGGGUAUGUGGAGGCCAAUCCACACACAGCUCUGUGCCUCAGUGCCAGUCAGGCUGCAUCUAUCAAAGCUGCAUUUGCCUGCAUCAUAUGCAGUGGUAAUUAUGUGAAUUUGACAAUGUUGCUGUUUAACAGAAACAAUAUGGCAGUCAUAGUAAUGUUUUCCCCAUUAUUUGUGCAGAGCCUAUGAAGUAACCGAUGUUCACUGAAUGCUGCAGAAGUCUACUGGGUUGUCGAUCUUGCCUACUGCAGUGGCAGCAAAACCACGAUCACUGUCCCAGGUGUCGCUUGGAUAAUUUUGAGUGUCAUGUUCAAACUGUUGUUGGGUUAGAUGAGGCAGUGGCUGCACUGCACAGUAUUAUUUGUUGAGCAUAUCACUGUAAUUUCUGAUAAAGCUAAAGAAUGUUAGCAUUUGUCCCAACUCAAACAUUUGAGUGUCCCCAUUUUAUACAUAACAAAAUUUAUUUUUUUGGUCAAGGAUGUCACACACCCCUCACUGACAAACUAAGUUUUUAUUUUAAUAUUUUUUGUAUGUGUGAUAUGGGGGGGGUCUGUUAUUCUUAAAGAAUGUUUUAAGAGGUUUUCUUGUUUUUAGAAAAUAAUGUUUUUAUGAAGUUUACACAUUCUUCAACAAUAAAACAAUUGUAUUGCACUAAAUUUAAUCUCGAUGUCUUUUUGGUAAACUGUAAAUGUUCAAGCACUUUAAAUCAAUUUCAAAUGAACACAUUUUAAUUUGUGAGCAAUUUAUUAUGUCAUAAUUUCUUCCAUUUCACACAUCUCUCUGUAACAUUGAACAGGCAGAAAAGUGCUUCACUGAAAACAUCAUAUUUAUGGUUGACAACUUUGUCAAAAAUAACACAGAGAUCAGGGUAAGCAUUCCCAAACUCAAACUUUGCCAGGCUUCUGUCCUCUUCGUUAGAAAAUGGGUCCACACCAAAGGUUGACUCUUUUUGCAGAGAAGAUCUGAGAUCCUGCUGAUAACCGUGAGCUGCAUCAGUUGCACUGGGUAACAAGUUCAUUGCAAUUUUGGCAGCACAUCCACCAGAUCGUUGGGUAUGCCACGGCCUAGUAAAUGAAUUGAAAUAUAUUUUUAUUCAACUAGUUAGCUCUUACAGAAUUUAUUGAAGUUAUUAGGUAAUUAUUUUGCCAACCUGGUAUCCUGUGGGCAUUCCAUGGAAUGAACCGUGACAACACGGUUUAAUCUAAUUUGGCUGAGAAGGCAACCCAGGUUAGACACACAGGAUUUUACAGUGUUGUCCUGCAUGUCUAAGGUCUCUUGGUCCACCAAAGUUGCCUUCAGUGGAUAAUUAAUACGAUUAUUCAUCUCUGGCCAUAUUCGCUCUACCCUAAGAUUCCGGGGGGGAAGAAAUACAUUGAAAAGGUACAUGGUAAGAAAAGGUCAUUUGAAACAGAAGUGUACGUAGCAGGAAGUACUUUUUAAAGACAGCUAAUUGAUUUACUGAGAACUACAUCAAUCACUAGUGAAAUGAAUUGUGCAAGGAUUGCACAGCUGACUUGUGCAUAUACAGUAAGAGUAUAAUUAUAACACCCCUAAAACUCCCAGUUUCCUGGUUAAUAGUAACAGAGAAUCUUACCCUGGAAGAUGUAGACUGAACAUAAGGUAGCCUGUUGACAUUUUGUCUAUGCCCUGACAGGAUUUCCUGCAUGUACAGGCUGAGGUAAAACUCUUUUCCAUAGUUCACCCUUACUUGGUCCCACAUUCCAUGUGUGACAACUGCCGAUCUGUAAAAAAAGGUGCUUCUAAGCAUAUCUUACAAAUCAUUGACAUGCAGUAUACACCAAAUAUCAUAGUUUGCAGUCACAGUAAAACACACACACACAUUGAUCAUUUUCAGUGUCUGUUAAGUAAAUUGUAUAAUCAAUCUAUAAUAGUUAAGUGCAUUAUCAUACGCUACACUACAAAUUGUGGCCAGCAAAACUCCUAAAUGCCUGUGUGGCCAGUCAUCAGAAAAGUUUGUCAAACCCUGUUUGCAACCAUAGGAGUAUAGUAUUUAUUUAGAUCAACAAGUUAAUUGCUCCGGUAAGCAUAUUACUUACCUAUACACAUCUUAAUAAAUAAUGAGGUUGUUUUUAAUGGGCAUUGUAGUGUGAGCUACGAUUUUGAGCUGUUCCAAUCCACUGCAAUAACGUGGGUAACUCCAAACAUAACUAACUUCUCGUUUUGGUGCAUGUGCAGUUUAUGUCCUGGAUAUUUUGCAUGGUAUUGGAUGGGGUUUAGAUUAUGUGCACCUUUUGAAGUGAAAAGAUACAGUAAUGUAAUGUUAUGAUUAGCAGUGAUUAAUUUUGAUACAGUCUUAAGUACAAAGUUGUCAAUGUUACUUCCAUGCUGUUGCAGAUUGUGGUAAGGCUAGUGCACCUCUCUUAAGACCCUACCCACCCUGGUUUCUCCGGCACGUAAUCCAAUGGAUGAUAAGUAUCCUGUCUUAAACUUGCGUCCGUAUGUCAGACCUGUCUGUAAAACACACAAAAGUGAAACAUAACAUUCUGCAUUUAAUUUAAAGUAUGGAACAAAUUACAGCUCUCUCCAAAUCAACAUUGGACACAUGAUUGCGUCUUCUUAAAUUGUUGUCCAUGCAGAACCUCCUGACACUCAUUACUGAGCAAUGUGGAGCUCCACGGAGGCACAAAGUGUCGCUGAUUUCAGCGUAUGUUUUGCCACUCUGAAAGAGUUCCCAAAUUAAAUUAGAAAAGGGCUCAAGUGCAGCCAUUCUUUAUUUAUUCGUGGUACAGACCAGUGCAAAAAUGUUAUUUCUUGGCGCUUAAAGCUAGAGCCCAAAUCCAACACUCUGGUUUUUUUCAUUUGUUAGAUAACACAUUUCUACAUUUAGGUUUAAAAAACAAAAAAACAACACAGUUUAUUGGUUUUUUUUAGAUUUUAUUUUGAAACGGAAAAACGAAUGAGCGAACCAUACACAGAUUCAAAAGUCUAUUAGGAUAAAACGAAGCAAAUUCAUGACAAUCUUACUCUGUCAGACCACUUAAAAUUCCCUUAUCACUUUCAGCACAGCACAAGUCUGUACAGAAUGCUGUCAUGUUAACCACUAGACAUGCACAAGCAACACACUUCAUACUGUGCAAAGUGAUUUGGAGAUUUAGACAUAUCACCACCAAUAUUGGUCCAAAAAGGAAGCAGCAUGUUUUUCUUCUUCUAUUGUUGGAGCUAGUUGAUUAACUCCUAAAUAGACUACUAGGAUAAGCAGCAGCCAAAACUAAUUAACAUUAUGAGUACAUCGAGGUCAAAGGCUUGUUGUAUUUGAGUUACCCAAAGUAUCUGAAGCUGCAAAGAGCUAAAAAUAUUAGGAAAAUGUAAAAAACACUCAGUAAAACAACUGUGUCGUAGCUCUGUGUUGUAAACACAAGGAGCCACGGAUCAUUUUCAGGGAUAUCUCUAAAAUGCUAUUUAUAAGACAAAAGACUUAGACCUCCAGAUAUGAUCAAACACUUAAUGAUAAUUUACAGAUUACUGUCAACAUUUUGUCCGGCAGGCGUCUGUUUGUUCUGGCUUUAUUUUUCAGUGAAAGUGACAGAAAUUACAUUAUUUAGUUGCACUGUGGGAAAUGUAGCUUCCAGCUGUUUUUAAGUUUGACCUGUAUACACUCCCCUCCAAAAGUACUGGAACAAUGAGGCCAGUUCCUUUAUUUUUGCUGUAGACUGAAGACAUUUGGGUUUGACAUCAAACAAUGAAUGUGAGACAAGAGAUCAACAUUUUAGCUUUUAUUUCCAAGUAUUUACAUUUGGAUCUGAUGCACAACUUAGAAGAUAGCAUUAUUUGUAACGGAACACCAAAUGUUGAGGUGAGCAAAAGUAUUAGAACAAAUCGACUUAAAAUAGAUUAAAGUGAAUCAGUAAAUAAUCUUUUGCUUUUAAUAACUGCAUCAAGCCUGUGACCCACUGACAUCACCAAACUUUCAUAUUCUUGUUUUGUGAUGUUUUUCCAGGCUUUCACCACAGCCUCUCUCAGUUGUUUGUUCUGAGGGGUUGCUGACUUCAGUCUCCUCUUUAGCAGGUAAAAUGCAGCUCUAUAGGGUUGAAGUCAGGAGAUUGACUUGGCCAGUCUAGAACCUACCACUUCCUGUCCCUGAUGAACUCCAUUGUCAUUUUGGAAGUGUGUUUUACCUCCACUAUGUUUCACAGAUGAACUUGUAUGUUUGGGAUCAUGAGCAGAUCAUUUCUUUCUGUCUUCCUCCAAACUUUAGCCCUUCCAUCACUUUGCUUAAAGUUCAUCUUUGUCGCAUCAGUCCAUAAAACUUUGUCCCAGAAUUUUUGAGGCUCAUCUCUGUACUGUUUGUCAGACUCCAGCCUGGCCUUCUUAUUCUCCUUGCUAGUGAGUGGUUUGCAUUUUCUGGCGUAGCGUCUGUUCUUUUGUUCAUAAAGUCUUCUGCCAGCAGUAUAUUGUGAUACCUUCACUCCUGCCCUCUGGAGGUUGUUGCUGGUGUCACUGACAGUAGUUUUAGGAUCUUUCUUUAUGGCUCUCACAAUGUUUCUGUCAUCAACUGCUACUGUUUUCCUUAGUCUACCUGUUGGACGUCUGUUACUUAGUCCACCAGUGGUUUCUUUCUUGUUCAGGACAUUCCAAAUGGUUGUACUGACUAUGGCCAAUAUUUGUGUGAUGGCUCUGAUUGAUUUUCCAUCUUCUCUCAACUUUACAAUUGCUUGUUUUUCACCCAUAGACAGCUCACUGGUUUUCAUGUUGGUUACACUUCCAACUAAAGAUGCCAUCUGCACAGGCAAAACCCAAAUGUGAAACUGAAUGUAGACAUGGAGUGCUAUUUAUUGUUUGAAUAAUAAAGUAAUAGGACGCAUUAGUUCAACAAAGUACACGUCAGUCAUAUGUUCCAGUACUUUUGCUCACAUAAAAAAAAUAGAUGGGUUUCUAAAUUGUGUAUCAAAUUGCGAUGGAAAUACCUGGAAAUGAAAGCUAAAAUGUUGCUGUCUUGUCUCACAUUCAUCAUUUUAUGUCAAA